AGGUCAGAUUGCUCAGGGCAGUGUCCUACUAAAUUGCCUACAGUGACAGUGUAAAGACAGUGCAUGUCCUACGGAUAGGUGGUACCUUGUAGGGAAAAGCUACACUGCUGAAGAACUUAAGAAAAGUUCUAAUAUCAAGGAACCAUAAAGAAGUGCCUUUCUGGAUAGCGAGGGACUGUUUGGGUUCUGUCACUCCUUAUCUAUUCACAGGGGCUUCUCCAAGAGAAAUAGGACUUUCCACUCCAAAGUGCUUAGAUGUUGCCUCCUGAGGACAGUGCAGGGUAAUAACUUUGUAGACAUGAAGCCAGGGACACCAUCCCUUAAAAAUCUCAGAAAAAGAGGAUGGGAUAUUUACAGAGUCUUUAAAUAUCCAUGUCCAGCAAAGAUGAAUGGCCUUUCACAAAUACCAUCCCUGGAGGUUUUUGAAGAAAGGGUAAACGUGGCACUGAGGGACGUGGUCAGUAGGCAUGGUGGGGAUGGGCUGGCAGUUGGACUUGAUCUUAGUGAUCUUUUCCAACCUUAAUGAUUCUAUGAUUCUAAUUACUGCCUGGAGAGCAGUGGAUCUCUCUCUCACACAUUUUUUUGCCCAUGGAUUGGUUUUGAUCACCACCAUGGAGUACUAGGGAUGGAUGGAGACUGGGGGUUCUCUGGGAAGCACAGCUUGAAGUAUGGCGCAUAGGGGGUUAAAUGUAUUAGAGCAAAUACCUGAGGAAUUAAUAAUGAUUUGCUGCUCAUCAGGCAGAGAAAUGUAACGCAAGAAAAAACACGUUAGGAAAUGCCAGAAAAAUGCAGUGGGGGAGAAAAAAAAAAAAAAAGAGUGUGUUUGGGGGGUGGCGGUGAAGAAGCAGCAUGGGACAUUGGUUAAGCUUGGCCAAGAAGGCUCAGAGCUGGCUGGAUGGGGACGCCCAGCACCCCAGGGCCUGGCUCUGCCCUUCUCUCUGUGCUGGGAAGGAGAGUCCGUGGUAUGAAAAGCAUUUGUAUUGAGGAUGGAUCAUCUGGGUUUCCAUUAGGGUGAAAGUGAGGGGUGUGAGCACAGUGCAAAAGGUGCAUAGCCAUCGUGUCAGCCUCCUGUCUGGGGAACUGCUUGAUGCUGUGGUAUCAUUGAAAUAAGGAAAAUAAUAAUAAAAAUACUUUAGAAGAGUAAUAAAAAAAUAUUAAAAGUCUGCUUGGACAGAACCCAAGGGCUUGAAAAUGCUCACAUUUCGGGUUGUAGUGAAGUAGGAGUGCGUAACAUCUAACCUGCAAUUUGUGCAUCCCACCUUGGUGUGGGAGCAUCUCUGAAGCUUUGGUGUCCCUACUGCCAUACAAUAUCUUUGGAGGGAUGGCCAUGCUGUGAACCCCUCUGCAUGCAGAGGUGUGGGAAGGCUGCUGAGUGACUUGGCAAAAUGUAUGCAGAUAGAUAGCCAACAUCUGCCCCAGCCUCAAAUCAAAACACUCAUUCCCUCUCCGGGCACUUGUCCAACUUGCCAGAUUGAUGCCAUGGGGUGUCAGAGGAUGGUAAAAACUCAGCCACACGCAAGGCUCCUGCUCAGCAUCCUGACCCCAUGGGGCUGCCUGUAGUCUUCUAUUGCUUUUCUUUGCAGAAUGAAAACCCUCUGGUUGAUAUCAGUUCCAUAUUGUGCCCUUUGGGUCACACCACUGGUGGUGUUAGCCAAUUGACUCAUGGUCAACAUGUUGUCUAUUGGGUCAAACCCAGGUCCUUCUCCACAGAGCUCCUUUCCAGUAGGUCAGCUCCUGCAAUGUGCUGAUGUGUGCAGUCAUUCCUCCCCAGGUGCAGAGCCCUACACCUGUCCUUGUGGCAGACAGUGUCAAACAUCUCGCUGAAGUCAAGGUACACAACAUCCACCCUCUCCACGCAACUACCCAGCUGGUUAUGAUGUCAUAGAAGGCUACAAGGCUGGAUAUCAACUUUCUGCAGCAAAAGCUGAGGGGAUUGUUGUGCACUUCCCAUUGGGCACCUUGCAGUGGCAGAGAGCAGCACUGAUGGAGCACGGGAAUUGCAUAAUUUUGGAAAGAAUGAAAUGGCCGAAAUUCAGUGCUGAUGUCAUUUAACAGCUCCCAUUCAGCAAAGCCAUUGAAAACCGUCCAAAUUCCUCGGAACUCACCUGAAUCUGUCAAGAAGAUCUUCUCUUGUGGAAGUGAAAAGACAACACAGCUCCUAUGACUUUGGGCCAGAAAGAGGAUUUUACUCACCAGCACUGGCAUGCUCUGAAAGACCUGUCACCAGGUGGUUUAGCAAGGAACAACAUCUGCAGUUAAGACUGGGUGUGCCAAGCAGGCCCUGCCAACCUGUAGCAGCCGAGGAACUUAUUCAGAGCUCUUGAGGACCACUCAAUUAUCACUAAUUAACAAGCUUAAAGGUCAGCUUCUUCACAGCCCUCCAUUUGCCAAACUCCUCCCUGGUGACCCAGCGAGGAAAGAUAGGGGAUGGUGUUCUCACUCCACAUUUGAACCAGUAAAUGUGCAUUUAUUGACUUAGCUGUUCAUAACAGCCCACAUCCUUCAUGUACCCAUUUCAGAGCUAUUUACUUGUCCUGCCAGCUCCACCUCAUUAAGAUGCUCUAUUGUCCCAGCUGACACUGCAGAAACCAUGCCUCUGAGAGAACUCCUGCAAAGUCAAAUCUUCUGUUCUGGCAGCAUGGAAAAUAAAAAACAUCUGCUGGAUGUUUGAAGGUGCUGUGUAUCACCUCAGUCUAGGUGUGAUGGCAAUCAAUAUUUAAAA